rnacentral:rRNA from 1 species
UGAGCGACCUGCCGAUCAGAGGGGGAUAGCCGGCCCAACGGCCGGGUAAUACCGCAUACGCUUUCGGAACCGCAUGGUUCUGUAAGGAAACCUCAGGGGCUGAUCGAGGGGCUCGCGGCCUAUCAGCUAGUUGGCGGGGUAACGGCCCACUAAGGCGACGACGGGUAGCUGGU